UGGGGAAUAUUGGACAAUGGGCGAAAGCCUGAUCCAGCAAUGCCGCGUGAGUGAUGAAGGCCCUAGGGUUGUAAAGCUCUUUUACCAGGGAUGAUAAUGACAGUACCUGGAGAAUAAGCUCCGGCUAACUCCGUGCCAGCAGCCGCGGUAAUACGGAGGGAGCUAGCGUUGUUCGGAAUUACUGGGCGUAAAGCGUACGUAGGCGGUUAUUCAAGUCAGAGGUGAAAGCCCGGGGCUCAACCCCGGAACGGCCUUUGAAACUAGGUAGCUAGAAUCUUGGAGAGGUCAGUGGAAUUCCGAGUGUAGAGGUGAAAUUCGUAGAUAUUCGGAAGAACACCAGUGGCGAAGGCGACUGACUGGACAAGUAUUGACGCUGAGGUACGAAAGCGUGGGGAGCAAACAGGAUUAGAUACCCGCGUAGUCCCUGAGCGGGCUGGCAAGGCGCAU
rnacentral:rRNA from 1 species